rnacentral:lncRNA from 1 species
CUCGUGUACUUACUGUUAAGGAUCCUGGAAAAGGGAGUGGUUCCUCCUAGCUGCAAACAAGGGCGCUACUUUUCUUUUCUCUUUAAUAGAAUUACGUUUUAUAGGUGUGUCUAGGCAACACAAGGGAAUGUGAAAGACUUUCAGAGGGAAUGUUUGUGAAUACAUCUGGUGUGUACUAAAAAGCUGGAAAACCCCUAAGUAAAUGCAAUAUCGAUAGAAAGCGAGUUUCUUGAAGAGUCAUCUGCUAAACUCCACUAGAGUCAUCUCUACACCCAUAGGUCAAAUAAAAGAUUAAUAAUUUAGACAUAUCAGCUGUAAAUUCAUAAGAACCAUAUGGAUGUCCAAGUGGAGGUGGAGGAGGUGAUUAAGAUGGAAAAAGGCAACCAUGAAUGAAGACACACAGAUCCUCAACCUUUAAAACAGGUGUGGUUAAGAGAAAAAAAAAUUGCCAUUAAGGAAUCAGCAAAUAGGAUGUCUGAAGUGAGGAUAUAGCACCUAUCUCUGAGAUUAAAGUCAUCUGAUCAAAAAUGAUGCCUCUGAGACUAUAACAAAGGAAUGAAUAAUGAAAUAUAAGAAUGGGGAUUCUGCACUAACUCUAUGGGGAAGAAAACAAUG